UCACCAAUGUGCUUACUCAUUCUCUGCAUAAAAGGCUGUGGGCGGUGAAAUCUCCAGGAGCAUCAAUUACUCACAACUUGGUCACACUCAGGAAAAGAGGAAGAGAAGUGGACUCAAUUUAUGGGAAGUUUCUAUGUGCAACUACCAUGAACAGGAAAUGAAUGGAAGAAUAGAAUCUCUAUCUGCAAAAAUGUAUCUUGGUUUACCUUCUAGAUCACAGUGACUGUAGCUCCAUAUAGAAAUGAUUUCCCCAAUACAUCUGAAAAGGAAACUUGAGAAGGAAAAGGAGUAGGUACAUGAUUUUUGGGCCAAAUGUCACAGAAUACUGUUGAUAAGAGACUUGGGAAAAAUUUUAGACAUCCUGUUGUCCUGAAGGUAAUGAAGUAUCAACGAGGAUCGACCGGUCGAAACUUUGGCUAGAGAGGAAAAAGAAUCUUUCAUUCAAAGCCCUAAGAUAUCUUUGCCAUUAAAAUUCAGCAUGCUUUCAGAAAACAGAUUGAAGAAGGAAUCAAGUACAGUUUUACGACUUCAUAAAUUUUACCAGUCUCUUUUAAGCUCUCUAUUAUUAUUCACUUUUCAAAGACAGUCUAUGGCGUUACAGACUAUCAAAGGAGCAGCCUGGAAAAAAGUAAGCUUUGAGUACCAAUUACUAGAAAGUGUUAUUACAAAAUACUUCUAUCAGUUGACUUAUCAAGACUCCAAAACAGAAAUUGAUUCAGAGAGGAUUGGAAUAUUUUCACCACAACAUUUACUGAUGAUAAAUCACCGGUCAGAAGUCCUUGGAGAAAACUUCUGUACCUAAAAUUGGUACACACAUCUGAGUACUGCGAUGCCUGUGGCUCAACUUGGCAGAAAAAUGUGUACUUAUAAUGCUACAACUUCUGAGUAAGUUGGGGUAAGUAAUACAUAGCUGUACACCUUGGAGUUCCAGGUAGUCUCUGAAUAAUGUCUUGUACUAUACACAACAGCAGAUGUCUCUAAAUGAGCUAUGUGGUAUCUUUCUGCUUGUCCCUUUUUUGGGGAGUGGAAGAGCAAAGUUCUGCUUGGCAAAUUAUUACAGGUUAAGAUUUUACUUUGAGUUUUUAAUCACUUUAUUUUUGUAUACAUGCUUUGUUGUAAUGCUUAGUUUCCACAAAAAAAAAUUGAUUUAUUUUCCACC
rnacentral:lncRNA from 7 species